rnacentral:sRNA from 1 species
GCUCCCGGAGGUCAACGCCCGACAGCGCGUGUGCGCCCUCGGGCGCGUUUGUC